AUUGAACGCUGGCGGCAUGCUUUACACAUGCAAGUCGAACGGCAACAGGCCUUCGGGUGCUGACGAGUGGCGAACGGGUGAGUAAUGCAUCGGAACGUACCCAGAGGUGGGGGAUAACGCAGCGAAAGCUGUGCUAAUACCGCAUGUGAUCUGAGGAUGAAAGCGGGGGACCGAGCAGCAAUGUUUGGCCUCGCGCCUUUGGAGCGGCCGAUGUCGGAUUAGCUAGUUGGUGGGGUAAAGGCCUACCAAGGCGACGAUCCGUAGCUGGUCUGAGAGGACGACCAGCCACACUGGGACUGAGACACGGCCCAGACUCCUACGGAAGGCAGCAGUGGGGAAUUUUGGACAAUGGGCGCAAGCCUGAUCCAGCAAUGCCGCGUGCGGGAAGAAGGCCUUCGGGUUGUAAACCGCUUUUGGCAGGAACGAAACGGUGUCCGCUAAUACCGGGCGCUAAUGACGGUACCUGCAGAAUAAGCACCGGCUAACUACGUG
rnacentral:rRNA from 1 species